CCUGGGUUUCCGAAAAUGGGGCGUGGCCCACAUGUAGCAGAGGUGCAGAGAAAUACAGCCCCCAGCUUGGCUGGGACAGGAUGGGCGUGGUCAUGGCCCAUUGCAAGCGGCAGGUGAAGUGCCUGGGCGAGGUCUGGGCAAAGGGAAGUGGACGGCCCAGGUGAAGAGAAGCGAGGCAGAAAUUAGGGAGGGGGCGUGGCCGAUUUAGAGAAGCAAUCAGAGUGAAUAGGGCGUAGCUGUGGGGACAGGCGUGACAUGGAAGAGCAUAGGGGCCAGUCAGGGAGGAGACCUUGGAGGGAGAGAAAUGGAGGGUGCCUGAGGGGGAUGUGCUAAAGCCAAAGCACAUUUGCCCCCUCCCAGCGGGUAGGGGAGUGGUGGAGGCGGAGCACAGAGGUGUGGCCUGUCAGAGAAGGCGUUGUUACGACAGCACAGAGAGUACGGCCCUAGGAGCAGGACCCUGCACACAGCUGAGCUCAGAGGCUCCAGUCUGGCCACGAGAAUGCAAUGGGAGGUAUUCUUCAUUGAUCUUACUCGAAGUUGAGAACAUGUAUUUUGACUCUGAGAAAUGUUUGGAGGUCAACUGCAGUGAGGUCUCUAUACCACAGAGUGGUGAGUCCCCAAGUCCCGGUGAACUUAGGAAAUGGGCAUUAUCCUCUGGAAGACGUUUAUAGAGGUGACUUUUUUGAUAGAAAAUUGGAUGUCUGCCUGGCAAAUUGGAUAAAGGGUCAAGACCCAUCAGUGUGCUGUAUUCAGGAAACCCAUCUCACAUGCAAAGACACACAUAGGAUCAAAAUAAAGGGAUGGAGGAAGAUCUACCAAGCAAAUGGAAAAUAAAAAAAGGCAGG
rnacentral:lncRNA from 1 species